rnacentral:rRNA from 1 species
UUUAUCGGAGAGUUUGAUCCUGGCUCAGGACGAACGCUGGCGGCGUGCCUAAUACAUGCAAGUCGAGCGGACAGAUGGGAGCUUGCUCCCUGAUGUUAGCGGCGGACGGGUGAGUAACACGUGGGUAACCUGCCUGUAAGACUGGGAUAACUCCGGGAAACCGGGGCUAAUACCGGAUGGUUGUCUGA